rnacentral:tRNA from 1 species
UCCCAUAUGGUCUAGUGGCUAGGAUACCUGGCUUUCACCCAGGAGGCUCGGGUUCGA